GUCGAGGGGCAGCUUUUGAGUAGCAAUACUUCAGAUGGCGACCGGCGCACGGGUGAGUAACACGUAUCCAACCUGCCGUUUACUCGGGGAUAGCCUUUCGAAAGAAAGAUUAAUACCCGAUAGUAUAACGAGUCCGCAUGGUUUCAUUAUUAAAGAAUUUCGGUAAUCGAUGGGGAUGCGUUCCAUUAGAUAGUUGGCGGGGUAACGGCCCACCAAGUCUUCGAUGGAUAGGGGUUCUGAGAGGAAGGUCCCCCACAUUGGAACUGAGACACGGUCCAAACUCCUACGGGAGGCAGCAGUGAGGAAUAUUGGUCAAUGGACGAGAGUCUGAACCAGCCAAGUAGCGUGAAGGAUGACUGCCCUAUGGGUUGUAAACUUCUUUUAUAUGGGAAUAAAGUGAGCCACGUGUACCUUUUUGUAUGUACCAUAUGAAUAAGGAUCGGCUAACUCCGUGCCAGCAGCCGCGGUAAUACGGAGGAUCCGAGCGUUAUCCGGAUUUAUUGGGUUUAAAGGGAGCGUAGGUGGACAGUUAAGUCAGUUGUGAAAGUUUGCGGCUCAACCGUAAAAUUGCAGUUGAUACUGGCUGUCUUGAGUACAGUAGAGGUGGGCGGAAAUUCGUGGUGAGCG
rnacentral:rRNA from 1 species